rnacentral:rRNA from 1 species
AUUGAACGCUGGCGGCAUGCCUUACACAUGCAAGUCGAACGGCAGCAUAGGAGCUUGCUCCUGAUGGCGAGUGGCGAACGGGUGAGUAAUAUAUCGGAACGUGCCCUAGAGUGGGGGAUAACUAGUCGAAAGACUAGCUAAUACCGCAUACGAUCUACGGAUGAAAGUGGGGGAUCGCAAGACCUCAUGCUCCUGGAGCGGCCGAUAUCUGAUUAGCUAGUUGGUGGGGUAAAAGCCUACCAAGGCAACGAUGAGUAGCUGGUCUGAGAGGACGACCAGCCACACUGGGACUGAGACACGGCCCAGACUCCUACGGGAGGCAGCAGUGGGGAAUUUUGGACAAGGGGGGCAACCCUGAUCCAGCAAUGCCGCGUGAGUGAAGAAGGCCUUCGGGUUGUAAAGCUCUUUUGUCAGGGAAGAAACGGUAGUAGCGAAUAACUACUACUAAUGACGGUACCUGAAGAAUAAGCACCGGCUAACUACGUGCCAGCAGCCGCCGUAA